AAUCAACGCUGGCGGCGUGCCUAACACAUGCAAGUCGAACGCGAAAGGGGCUUCGGCCCUGAUUAGAGUGGCGAACGGGUGAGUAACACGUGGGUGAUCUGCCUCUGAGUGGGGGAUAACGUUCCGAAAGGAGCGCUAAUACCGCAUGACGUUCUGGGUUUGAAGACCUGGAAACCAAAGUCGGGGACCGCAAGGCCUGACGCUUGGAGAGGAGCCCGCGCCUGAUUAGCUAGUUGGUGGGGAAUGGCUCACCAAGGCUACGAUCAGUAGCCGGCCUGAGAGGGCGGACGGCCACACUGGGACUGAGACACGGCCCAGACUCCUACGGGAGGCAGCAGUGGGGAAUUGUUCGCAAUGGGCGCAAGCCUGACGACGCAACGCCGCGUGGAGGAUGAAGGUCUUCGGAUUGUAAACUCCUGUUGACCGGGACGAAUGGGCUCCGACCUAACACGUCGGGCAGUGACGGUACCGGUUGAGGAAGCCACGGCUAACUCUGUG
rnacentral:rRNA from 1 species